rnacentral:sRNA from 20 species
AUAAUUCCUCGUUAGGUGAGGCUUCUGCAUAGAACAUAUGCCACUGCCCGGAUAGGUCGAAAGACCGUAACGGGUUAACAGGUAUUACCGGAUUAAGGUUUUAUCUAAUGUGGCUGAGAUUUAUGUCUCUAGCUGUGCAUGUGCCAAAACUCGUACGAGUGGGGAAUGGG